rnacentral:piRNA from 1 species
GUUAUUACAUGUUGUUCUUGUUGU